rnacentral:rRNA from 1 species
GCACAAGCGUGGAUGAUGUGGUUAAUUCGAUGCAACGCGAAAACCUUACCCACCUUUGACAUGGCAGGAAGUUUCCAGAGAUGGAUUCGUGCUCGAAAGAGAACCUGCACACAGGUGCUGCAUGGCUGUCGUCAGCUCGUGUCGUGAGAUGUUGGGUUAAGUCCCGCAACGAGCGCAACCCUUGCCAUCAGUUGCUACGAAAGGGCACUCUGAUGGGACUGCCGGUGACAAACCGGAGGAAGGUGGGGAUGACGUCAAGUCCUCAUGGCCCUUAUAGGUGGGGCUACACACGUCAUACAAUGGCCGGUACAAAGGGCAGCAAACCCGCGAGGGGGAGCCAAUCCAUCAAAGCCGGUCGUAGUCCGGAUCGCAGUCUGCAACUCGACUGCGUGAAGUCGGAAUCGCUAGUAAUCGCGGACUCAGCACGCCGCGGUGAAUACGUUCCCGGGCCUU